rnacentral:rRNA from 1 species
GACGAACGCUGGCGGCGUGCCUAAUACAUGCAAGUCGAGCGAGCGGAACUAACAGAUUUACUUCGGUAAUGACGUUAGGAAAGCGAGCGGCGGAUGGGUGAGUAACACGUGGGGAACCUGCCCCAUAGUCUGGGAUACCACUUGGAAACAGGUGCUAAUACCGGAUAAGAAAGCAGAUCGCAUGAUCAGCUUUUAAAAGGCGGCGUAAGCUGUCGCUAUGGGAUGGCCCCGCGGUGCAUUAGCUAGUUGGUAAGGUAAAGGCUUACCAAGGCGAUGAUGCAUAGCCGAGUUGAGAGACUGAUCGGCCACAUUGGGACUGAGACACGGCCCAAACUCCUACGGGAGGCAGCAGUAGGGAAUCUUCCACAAUGGACGCAAGUCUGAUGGAGCAACGCCGCGUGAGUGAAGAAGGUUUUCGGAUCGUAAAGCUCUGUUGUUGGUGAAGAAGGAUAGAGGUAGAAACGGGCCUUUAUUUGACGGUAAUCAACCAGAAAGUCACGGCUAACUACGU